GGGCCGAUAGAUCAGUGGUAGAUCGCCGCCUUGGCAUGGCGGAGGCCAGGGGUUCAAGUCCCCUUCGGUCCA
rnacentral:tRNA from 1 species